rnacentral:rRNA from 1 species
UGGGGAAUAUUGCACAAUGGGCGCAAGCCUGAUGCAGCCAUGCCGCGUGUGUGAAGAAGGCCUUCGGGUUGUAAAGCACUUUACAGCGAGGAGGAAGGUGGUGAGGCUUAAUACGCUCAUCAAUUGACGUUACUCGCAGAAGAAGCACCGGCUAACUCCGUGCCAGCAGCCGCGGUAAUACGGAGGGUGCAAGCGUUAAUCGGAAUUACUGGGCGUAAAGCGCACCGCAGGCGGUUUGUUAAGUCAGAUGUGAAAUCCCCGGGCUCAACCUGGGAACUGCAUUUGAAACUGGCAAGCUAGGAGUCUCGUAGAGGGGGGUAGAAUUCCAGGUGUAGCGGUGAAAUGCGUAGAGAUCUGGAGGAAUACCGGUGGCGAAGGCGGCCCCCCUGGACGAAGACUGACGCUCAGGUGCGAAAAGCGUGGGGAGCAAAACAGGAUUAGAUACCCCUGGUAGUCCAGCGCUGUAAAACGAUGUCGAUUUGGAGGUUGUGCCCUUGAGGCGUGGCUUCCGGAGCUAACGCGUUAAAAUCGAGCCGCC